GACAGAGGGUGCAAACGUUGUUCGGAAUUACUGGGCGUAAAGCGCGUGUAGGCGGCUCUGCAAGUCGGGUGUGAAAUCCCACGGCUCAACCAUGGAAGUGCACUCGAAACUGCAGGGCUAGAGUCCUGGAGAGGAAGGUGGAAUGCUUGGUGUAGAGGUGAAAUUCGUAGAUAUCAAGCGGAACACCGGUGGCGAAGGCGGCCUUCUGGACAGUGACUGACGCUGAGAUGCGAAAGCGUGGGGAGCAAACAGG
rnacentral:rRNA from 1 species